UGAUUUAUCUUUAAAUAUUUUAACAGGUUAUGCGGUAUCUUAUGAAAUAUAAAAUGAGAACGUCUUACCAAAAUGAAGCCAUGAAAUUAAGUCACAGCUUUAGAAUAUUAACCGCACUGAGUGCGUCUCCCUUUUUCUCUGUUAGUCAACACUGAUAAAAUUUGCAUCAUCUAAUUUUAGGGUAAAUAUUAAGGAAAAAAAGCCACCCAAGCCCACACCACGGCCUGGCACAGUGUGAGCUGCUAUCAAGCACCAUCAGACAUUUCCAAAGGGCAUUUUAAUUUCAAUUUCUCUAUCAGGUUCUUUGGCUGGCAGUUGUUUGUCAAGUGUGAGGCUUUUUGGAAGGAUCUACAGUCUGAACAGCUCUAUUAAAUAACAAAUAAAACUGAGAUAGGAACAUUUAUGUACAUCUAUUUUUUAAGUAUUACAUUUCUUCAGUGUGAAAUUACGUGUUCCGGGUCCGAUGUCACUGCCUGAGCCUCCCGUACGUGAAGUACCACAUAACCACUGUUGCUGCAUGUUGCUGUUAGCACCAGGUGUACGCCUAUUGUCAGUCCAGCUAAGCCACAGAAGAGCUUAUUGCAAUUAAAUAGCAAUUUGUUUCUAUGAAACUGCAAUUAAAGUAUUACUGAUCAGCCAUUUUAGAUUGGCAGUGCUUUGACUGCAUGUUAAACAGUGAGGAGCUCUCGAUUUAUUUCUGCAGCCUGAGCUGCGAGUAACAGCGAAGUGUAACACGCUCACCUAUGUCCCUUGUCAAGUUGAAAGUAUGAGUCCUCUGUGAAGCACUCUGAUCUCAUCACGAACAUGCUGAGAGCAAUGACAAGUCAGGGCUGAUCUCUGUAAGUUGAACUUGCAACUUACAGGACCUGAAGUUAUUACUGUUUUCUGUUCCUGUAUAAGCAGGGAUGUGUACGCUUCCUACAGGGGAUGUUUUCAACUCCAGAUUGAUUCUGUUGAGAAUGGACUGCAAGUUGUGGGCCGCAAGCCAAUAAUGUACUGCAGGUCCUGACUUGUUAGAGCUGUGUAAACAGGGCUACUAUAGCUCCUUAAUCACAACUAAUAAAAGACUAGAAGAAACCAAUCAAUUACCUUAUAAGUUGUUUGGGGUUUUGUUUUGGAUUUCUUUUUUAAUAAAAAGCAGAAGUUUAUCUGCCGCAGCUUUUAUUGUCACACUUGUACAACAGAUGAGACAGUCUAAAGCAGUGUCAUCGCUUACCUGUGCGCACCCCGCGUUGCUGGCGGCUGUUCGCCUGCGACAUUCCCGGGAAGCUCCUGCCCUCGAGCCUGGCAGAACCCGCCAGCCACUGCCUCGAGUCCCCGCCGAGCUCACAGCGUUCGUGGUUGGCUUGAAAUCUGAAAUGUAAAUUUUUAGUGCAAAUUAAAAACUUGUUUGUAAGAACUCAAA
rnacentral:lncRNA from 1 species